rnacentral:rRNA from 1 species
AUUGAACGCUGGCGGCAUGAUUUACACAUGCAAGUCGAACGGUAACAGGCCGCAAGGUGCUGACGAGUGGCGAACGGGUGAGUAAUGCAUCGGAACGUGCCCAGUCGUGGGGGAUAACUACUCGAAAGAGUAGCUAAUACCGCAUACGAUCUAUGGAUGAAAGCGGGGGACCGUAAGGCCUCGCGCGAUUGGAGCGGCCGAUGUCAGAUUAGGUAGUUGGUGGGGUAAAGGCUCACCAAGCCAACGAUCUGUAGCUGGUCUGAGAGGACGACCCGCCACACUGGGACUGAGACACGGUCCAGACUCCUACGGGAGGCAGCAGUGGGGAAUUUUGGACAAUGGGCGCAAGCCUGAUCCAGCAAUGCCGCGUGCAGGAAGAAGGCCUUCGGGUUGUAAACUGCUUUUGUACGGAACGAAACGGCUCUGGUUAAUACCCGGGGCUAAUGACGGUACCGUAAGAAUAAGCACCGGCUAACUACGUG